rnacentral:tRNA from 1 species
GGGGUUAUAGUUUAUAUAAAACAUUCAAUUUGCACUUGAAAGAUAAAAACCUUA